UACGUAGGGUGCGAGCGUUGUCCGGAAUUAUUGGGCGUAAAGGGCUCGUAGGCGGUUUGUCGCGUCGGGAGUGAAAUCCACUGGCUUAACUGGUGGCUUGCUUUCGAUACGGGCAGACUGGAGGUAUGCAGGGGAGAACGGAAUUCCUGGUGUAGCGGUGAAAUGCGCAGAUAUCAGGAGGAACACCGGUGGCGAAGGCGGUUCUCUGGGCAUGUCCUGACGCUGAGGAGCAAAAGUGUGGGGAGCGAACAGG
rnacentral:rRNA from 1 species